UACAGAGGUGGCAAGCGUUGUUCGGAAUUACUGGGCGUAAAGCGUGCGCAGGCGGUCUUGCAAGACAGGUGUGAAAUCCCCGGGCUUAACCUGGGAACUGCACUUGUGACUGCAAGGCUGGAGUACGGCAGAGGGGAUGGAAUUCCGCGUGUAGCAGUGAAAUGCGUAGAUAUCGGAAGGAACACCAGUGGCGAAAGCGGACUUCCUGGUCCAGCACCGACGUCAGGCAC
rnacentral:rRNA from 1 species